ensembl:lncRNA novel transcript, sense intronic to MAP4K4
UUUUUUUUUUUUUUUUUUUUUGGAGACCAAGGUCUUACUCUGUUGCCCAAGCUAGAGUGCACAAGUCUAGCUGUGCACAAGUCUAGAGUGCACGAGUCUAGCUCAUCGUACCUCAAAUUCCUAGACUCAAAUGAUCCCCCCCAUCUCAGCCUCCUGAGUAGCUGGGACUACAGGAGUGUGCCACCUACAAUAAUUUUUUUUUUUUGAGAGAUGGGGUCUUAUUGUGUUGCCCAGGCUGGUCUCAAACUCCUGGGCCCAAGCAAUCCUCAUGUCUCAGCCUCCCAAAGUGCUGGGAUUUACAGGUAUGAGCCACAGCACCCGCCCUUCUAAUCAUUCCCUGUGAAAUUUUAAUAGUACAGAUAUACUGUAUAUCUGUAUAUAACUAUAUAUGUUUAUGUACUGUAUAUAUGUCUUUACACUUAAAAGUAGUAAAUUUUCUUGAGGACAAUAUCAGCCCCAUUGAGAACACUUGGUGUAGAGUAAUAUAAAAAUACAAAAUACGAAAAUUCUCUCUUGCUGUUUUAACCCAUUUAAUAAGUCAGUAAGCAGAGGAAGGUUAAGACUAGGUUAGCUUUAUGCCUGUGAUGUUUUACAUUUUUCAUGUUGAAAAGUCUUCACUUUAUUUAUGGAUGACGACAGUUGGAAUUCAGAGAGGUGCUUGACCUGUCUAAAGUCACAAUAGAGUCCUGGACUUGCUUUUAUUACACCACAUCUCCCAGUUCACUACAGGAGUAUAGCAGUGGUAUUCUGUAUUUGGGUUUUAAAGUAGUGGUACCUAACAAGAUGCAAUGCUAUAUAAGUAGUAGACACUCAAAUAUUUGAUGAAUUAAAUAGGGUGUUCCAUUUUUGGUGGUUGCAUGAGUUCCGUGCACUUGGAGAAAACAUAGUAGAUACACACUACUGGUUUCAUUGUCCAAGAAAACAGUCUUCUAUUGCAAUAUUUAUAAUUUUCCAUGUCAUUCUCAUCUUUUGUAAUCACAAAUAUUUACAUUUUAGAUGCUAACAUUAAUCAUAAAUAACAGCAAGACCUCUUACUUACUUUCACACUUAAAUUUCAUCCCUCUAGGAAAGAAAAUUAUUGGAGUGGUUAGGAGUGAGUACAUUUCUGGGUUUCAUUUUUAGAAUUGUCACUGAACUAAUAAAAAUGAUUUAAUCUUUUGCUCCUCUUUCCCAGGAACAUAAAUUUGAGGCCCAUAAAUAAUUUUCAAGGUGAAUUUAUAGUGUAUGAGCCUCCUAGGCAGUUAACCUCAUUAUUUAGUAGUCAUAUCCUGCCUUUUUCCCCAAGACAGCAAUACAUACUUUUAAGCAUGAUAAAGCUCAGUUUCCUCAUCUGUAAAAUGGAAUAAUGCCUACUUCAGAGGCUUUUGUCAGAAUUAAAAUUAAUGUAAAGUAUGUAGUCUAUUAGUUUUUACAUAGUAAAUGUGAGUUUCCUUGUUACCUUCUCCUUAUUAAAGACAUUAAAGUAUCACUUUUGCUGAAGGCUUUUAAACACUCCCAAUACCCUCCUCAGCCACUUACUCAAAUGAUCCACUCUCCACCUGCCUCCCUCCACCUGUGGCAAUCCUUUUCUCCUUGUCUUUCUUCCUUGCAGGCUCCUUCUUCAGCCCCUCUGUGGUUACAGCCAUCACUGUUUGGUCCUUUGAUAACUACCUUUGCCCUGUGAACUGUCUUCUUCUGCUGUAUAUGUGUGUGGGUUUUUUUUUUUUGUUUCAUUUUUGAUUUUUGUUUUUUCAGAUAGGCUUCACUCUGUUGCCCAGGCUGGAGGGCAGUGGCAUCAUCCGGGUUCACUGCAGCCUGGACUUCCUGGGCUCAAGUGAUCCUCCUACCUCAGCCUCCUGAGUAGGUGGGACUACAGAUGUGUGAUACCAUGCCCAGCUAAUUUUUAAAAUUUUUCGUAGAGACGAAGUCUUACUGUGUUACCCAGGCUGGUCUCAAACUCCUAGGCACAAGAUGUCUUCCUGCCUUGGCCAUCCCAAAGUGCUAGGACUGCUGAUGUGAGCCACUGAGCCCUGCCGAUUCUUCUGCUAUUUUAAUCGUUAGCUAGAGAACAGUGGCCACAUGUUCAUUUAUGUGUAUGUUUUUCUAUUCUAGAUCAUACCCUCUUGUAGGAUUAUCUCAGCCCUUCUAGGUUCAUGACAGCACCCUUCAUUCACGUGGGUGGUGCUUAGCAUAUAUUUGCUCUUUCUAAAGAAUGCCCCAAGACAAAAGGCAGUUCUUGUUGUUCUUCUCCUUAAAAAAAAAAAAAA